CCUACGGGUGGCAGCAGUAGGGAAUCUUCCACAAUGGACGAAAGUCUGAUGGAGCAACGCCGCGUGAAUGACGAAGGCCUUCGGGUCGUAAAGUUCUUUCGACAGGGAAGAAAAUGCAUAUAAGUAUCUGUGUAUGUAUUGACGGUACCUGUAUAAGCAGCCCCGGCUAACUCCGUGCCAGCAGCCGCGGUAAUCCGGAGGGGGCGAGCGUUGUUCGGAGUGACUGGGCGUAAAGAGCACGUAGGCGGUGUUGUAAGUCAUUAGUCAAAGACUAGAGCUCAACUUUAGUAAGGCUAGUGAUACUAUAAUACUAGAGUAUCAGAGAGGAUUGCAGAAUGCCUGGUGUAGCGGUGAAAUGCGUAGAUAUCAGGAGGAAUACCGUUAGCGAAGGCGGCAAUCUGGCUGGAAACUGACGCUGAGGUGCGAAAGCGUGGGUAGCAAACAGGAUUAGAUACCCCAGUAGUC
rnacentral:rRNA from 1 species